AUGAAUCUAAAAGUGAGAGAUGCACACCUGACCGCAGAGAAACACACGGCAGUAUGUGAGAGAUUUGGAUGCAGAGCUCCACCAACUCUCUCUCUCUCUCUCUCACACACACACACACACACACACACACACACACACACACACACACACACACUAUGCAGGGGUUUUCUGGUUACAGAAUCCCGAAUGACUGUAAUGCCACUUCACUUAUACAUCCAGACCAGAACAAAUACCACAGACACUGAACACACACAUUCUGAUGUCUGUGUUGAUACAGAGGUCAAACUAGAGGUCAAACUAGAGGUCACAGCUGCAGUAGUUGGUCCUGAAAUAAAACAUCAGCACAGAAUCAGCUGCUUUCUCUCUGAACCACAUCAACACCAUUCACUGCUGAGAUCAAGCUGAAACAAACUCAUGACACUUUUCAAGAAUCAAGAGAACUGAAAGUGAAAGUGAAAGUGAAAGUGACGUGACAUUCAGCCAAGUAUGGUGACCCAUACUCAGAAUUAGUGCUCUGCAUUUAACCCAUCCGAAGUGCACACACACAGAGCAGUGAACACACACACACACUGUGAACACACACCCGGAGCAGUGGGCAGCCAUUUUAUGCUGCGGCGCCCGGGGAGCAGUUGGGGGUUCGAUGCCUUGCUCAAGGGCACCUAAGUCGUGGUAUUGAAGGUGGAGAGAGAACUGUACAUGCACUCCCCCCACCCACAAUUCCUGCCGGCCCGAGACUCGAACUCACAACCCUUCGAUUGGGAGUCCGACUCUCUAACCAUUAGGCCACGACUCCCUGACUGUUUUACAUGAUCAGUGUUGCUUUAGUUCUUAUACAUAUAUGCAGUGAUGGGCAGUAGUGCGCUACAAGUAGUGAAGCUAGUAGUUUAACUACAUUUAUCAGUAGCGUGGUGGUAGCAUCGCUGUUUUCUUAAUCAAAUAGCUUUUCAGUAGCUAAGCUCUUUUUUGAUCAAGUAGCGCGGUAGCAAAAGCUAACGUUACAUUAUCCAAAGCAUUUCUGAAACUCAAGCUCAAAUCGGAAAUAUUAACUGCUAAGGAUCACUGAUCCUGGACCAGUAAAAGGGACGCCACCGCCACUAAACCUCAUAACAUCACUGGCUCCUCAAACUGUCAGUCAAACCUCAUUAUUCCUCCCGCCUCUCUCGUGAAUGAAGUGUGGCGAGCAGUUUGGAACAUCUCAGCUCAGGCCCGGUUUCAGAACGAAAUCACUGAGAGUGCUUCUGAAAAUUGUGAGGGUGCUCACAAAUAAUAUUAAUCCUAAUUUUCAACUCUAUGAAAAUAGUAUCAACAAAUAGGGCUUAAUUUUAACGAUGUGCAAUCUAACAUAAUGGAGUAUGUCCAUCACUUUGCAAAAAAAGGCCACACACACUGUGAUAGGUUUGACUACUGUAUGCGCAUUUAGACUACACGUUUUGCUGCAUGAUAGCAAGAUAUCGGGGUAAAAUUCCUCUCCCCUGUAUGAUUUUUUCUUUUAUAUACCAUAUAGUUUAGCAAUAUCACACGAAGCGUGCUGGUUUUUCCUCAAAUAUCAACACGACUGCAAAUGUAAUGGUGAUUUUACACUGCAUUUGAAUAAACAAGAAGUUAAUAUUAAGUAACUUACUAUGGUGCCCCUAAGGUGACAUGGUCGGUUCACUAAAGCGGUGUCCGAAACCGCUCCCUAUUCACUAUAUAGUGCACUAUAUCGGGUGUCAGCCAUUUUGUAGUGCUGUCCGAAUUCUGAGUGAACGACUUCAUUCCCUACAUUCGUCCCACUACUUUUUUUACCCACAAUUCAUUCUGCUUUCAAGUGUACAACAGAUGUACACUGGCUGAAGCACUAUUUCCCACAAUUCAAUGCGGAGAACCGGCGAGUGUUUGUUAAUCACAGUAGGUAGCGUAUUCAUUCUGAUGUAAAAUUAAGGGUUGCCUGAGGACGCUCUAUGACCAUUAUCUUAUCUGAGCUCAAGACACUGCUCGGGAGAGUGUCAAGAUACUAAAAAUAAUAAAUACAUAAAAUUAUGAACAUGUUAGUGUGUGUUUAUUUUUGUUCUCAGUAUUUUAAUGGCAUUUAAUGAUUUUGAACAUAAAAGCAUUACAAAACAAAUUAAUAAUAUUCCUUCGAUGAAACCACAAACUGACGCGGCGGUAUGUAUAAUUACAAUCAGAGGUGGGUAGUAACGAGUUACAUUUACUUCGUUACAUUUACUUGAGUACAUUUUUUGGGUAACUAAUCCUUUCGGAGUAUAUUUAAAGUUUGGUACUUUUACUCUUACUUAAGUACAUUUUUAGUGAAAAAACUGUAGUUUUACUUCGUUACUGUGGACCACGCUCCUCUCAUUACUUUAUCUUACAAGUUAUAAAUGCUUCAGUUUAUUCCAAACAUGCUGUCUACUUUUCGCUGAGCAAUGAGUGAUGCCCAUUCCCGAAUGAUUCAUUUUUUUGAGUCAAUUCUGUUCAAAAGCUUGAUCAAACCAGUGAAUUGGUUUGUGAAU
ensembl:lncRNA